CACACACACACAGUAGGACUAGAUAUCCCUCUUCCCUGGGAAACUGAAGGUACACACACACACACACACACACACACACACACACACACACACACACACACAGUAGGACUAGACAUCCCUCGUCCCUGGGAAACUGGAGGUACACACACACACACACACACAGUAGGACUAGACAUCCCUCUUCCCUGGGAAACUGGAGGUACACACACACACACACACACACACACACACACACACACACACAGUAGGACUAGACAUCCCUCUUCCCUGGGAAACUGGAGGUACACACACACACAGUAGGACUAGACAUCCCUCUUCCCUGGGAAACUGGAGGUACACACACACACAGUAGGACUAGACAUCCCUCUU
ensembl:lncRNA